UCGGGAAUUUUGCGCAAUGGAGGAAACUCUGACGCAGUGACGCCGCGUAUAGGAAGAAGGUUUUCGGAUUGUAAACUAUUUUAGUCAGGGAAGAAAAAUGACAGUACCUGAAGAAUAAGCUCCGGCUAACUACGUGCCAGCAGCCGCGGUAAUACGUAGGGAGCAAGCGUUAUCCGGAUUUAUUGGGUGUAAAGGGUGCGUAGACGGGAAGACAAGUUGGUUGUGAAAGCCCUCGGCUCAACUGAGGAACUGCAACCAAAACUAUCAUUCUUGAGUGCGGGAGAGGAAAGUGGAAUUCCUAGUGUAGCGGUGAAAUGCGUAGAUAUUAGGAGGAACACCAGUGGCGAAGGCGACUUUCUGGACCGUAACUGACGUUGAGGCACGAAAGUGUGGGGAGCAAACA
rnacentral:rRNA from 2 species